UUUAUUUUUUCCAAUAAGUAAUGAAAAAAUUUUUUGAACAUAAAGAGAGUAUUUUAUUUUGAGUUCAAUUAAUGUUAAAAUUCUCUUAUGUUCACAUUGCGCCUCUUUCUCGGCCUCGAGUUAUGUGCAUGGCGCUGGGCUAUUUUACCGGCAGUCUACGUUCAGCAUUAACUACGAGGGCACAAUACACAGCUGUCUGAAGCGAAUUUUGAAAUAUAUCAACAUGAAAUACUUGAAGGCUUGUGGAAUUGCUGUUACCAUCAUCAAUGUGUUGUUCUCGAUUGUAAUUAUUAGGGCAUUAUUAGAUAUUGGCAUGGUUGAUGGAGAAUGCAGAAAAGAGAAUUGUGCUAAUAUGCCAUUACUUUGGAUUGUAGUUUUAAUCAGCAACAUAAUUUUUAAUGUGUGUAUUCUUGGUUACAUAUUCUACAAUGAGCGAUCUGCAAUUAGAGCGUGGAAAUAUUUUUCAAUAGUAUUUGUUUGUUUGAUCGUUGCGCCAACUUGUGAAGAAACAUUUGUUGGAAAGAUCAAGUUAAUGUUCAUUAUAUUUAUCGUUAAAAUAUUUAUUUCGAUUAUUAUAAUAGUCAUUGUUGAAAAGACAUUACCACAGAAAGAUGAUUUGCCAAAUUCAAUUCAAUUCAAUGCUACAAAUAGAAUACCAACUAAUUCAACCAAUCAAAGAAGUAACUUUGCGACUUCGGCCGGUACUAGAAGAUAUCAUCAGCAUCGACAAUAUGAGAGCUGGAGUGAAGAUGAGAGCAUUGAGUUGCCAAAUACUCAAUUUGAAUAUGAUUUUACAAUUGGUGAACUAUUGAUCAACGGUGGCACUGGCUCAGAUAAAAAUGAUUUUGGGAACUGUGAUGAUUCUGAUAGACAGAAUAAUAGCUCACUCAAUAAUGAUAACGAUGGCUGCUGUCAGGUCUCAAACGAUGAUAAUUGUGGAGGUGGUUAUGAUUAUAGUUGCACAAAUGAUUAUGAAUCUAAUAAUUGUGGUUGCGAUGACUCUGGAGGUUAUGACUGUGGUGACGGCGAUGAUUAAGUUAUCAUAAAUGUAAUGCAAUUACAUAUUCACGUACUAAUUAGUUCACAAUAAUUCAUUACAUGUUUAUAAUCUUAAAUACAAUAUUCUGCUAUACCGAUUGCACUUACAACAAAAUAACAGCUUUUCAUGUCAUCUAUUGAAGAACAUUCACCCUUCGGUGUUCAGCUCGGUGCUUCAUAUACAUUUUAUAUAUGUGUAUAUACUCAUAUGUAUUUGUAUUGUCUAUAGAUUUACAUUCCACACUAGAUUCCGCUAUCUGAAGCUUUCGUACGCAGUUAGAAAGCUUAGGUUUCAGUUUGAACUGAUCCGUCUCCGACAACACGUGUGUAUUCCUUUAUGUAAAUUACAGUUGAAUGUUUGUAAAUGGUAUAACUGAAAACUUUUCAAUAUGGCAUACCAUAUUUGUGGCGCUACAGUAUCAUUCUUAAAUUUGUUGUAUUCCCUUGGGUACUUUGCAAUCGUGUUCGCAGACAUGGUCACAGGCGAUGUCGACAGAAGGCAUUUGCAUUGGCCUUGGCUUGUGGUCUACGCUGUGAAUAUGUGCGUAAACACAUUUAUGUUCAGACGCUAUUACAGAGCCCAACAAGUAGGCAUUUGGUUUUGGUUCUUUAUUAGUUUCAUCACUCUUCUAUUACAUAUCUAUAAGAUUCAAUUCGGUAAAUUAAGUUCAACUAUCAGAACUAUAAAUGAAUUCAUUUGUUUUUACAUAUUUAUCACGCUAAUUAUUAUGCUCUUUAUGAAGAGUAUUUUAAAAGAGAAAACAGACGAAACUAUUGAGCCAGCAAAAUCUAGAAGAAAAUCAGGAAGUGGUGCCGGAUCAUCUGUAGAUGAAAUUUGUGAUGCACCUGCCGCCGUAGUAAUGGGACCUCCUUUAUCAAUUACAUUUCAGCAUGUUUCCCCAAGUCCCGCAGGUCACGACGAAGACUGUGGCAACGAUAAUGGAUCUGCAUGUGAUGACUCAGAUGGAGGACACGGAGAUUGCGACGACGGUGGAGACUGUUGCGGCGAAUGAAAAAGAUAUAUUACAUUUUCUUCCGCAUUUCAAUUGAUUCCUUGUGUUCUAUGCCACUUGUUGAUGUUUUUGCCAUUUUUAUCUCUCGCUUACCUAAAUUCUCUCUUUGGAAUAAGCUCUCAAUACUGACAACUAAUUGGCUAGGUUUCGCGCUUUUUACUCAAACAAAAUAUUGUUGUAACCGCCCACAAAAAAAAAAUCAAAUGUGCAUUCAUGUGCAUUCAGUAUUUUAUUACGCUUAAAUUAUAUUGUUACAAUAUUCAGUGUCAGUGGAAAUAUAAU